GUCUACGGCCAUGAUACCCUGAAUAAGCCCGAUUCCGUCUGAUCUCAGAAGCUAAGCAGGGUUGAGCCUGGUUAGUACUUGGAUGGGAGACCACCUAAAAAGACCAGGUGCUGUAGGCA
rnacentral:rRNA from 1 species